AUAAUUUUAAUUUGGAAAUCAACGGAAGUUCGAUAAUCAAUUUCGAGUAACGAAGGUCGACAUUGGCCGUGGGAGUCCGAUUGCAAGUGCCUACAAGCAAUCGAAAGUAUUGCGAGGUGGGUUGUGUUGCACCGAAUGUCUAGAGAGUAUUUUAUAUAAAUAAUUGAUGCAUGUUGGUUGGUAGUUUAUUUGGUAAUUGCACAAUUAUAGAGCAUGUGAUUCUAAAUGAAGGACUAUUAUUGUGUAAGAUUUAAUUAUGUGAAUGUGAUGAAUACUUAUAAUAGCGUAGUUGUUUUAUAUAUUUGAUGCUUUCUUAUGCAAUCUAUGUAUGAAUUUUGUUCCUAUUCAUGACGCUUUGGGCGGACAGAAAAACUCUGUCCAUUAAGCGGGUCUGGUUCCACCUAUUUGGGGAAGGGACGGCUGUCACGCCCCGAGGUCCCUUUUGGUUUUAAAAUUGAUGCGGAAGUGCCCAAUUAUUUUUUUUUUUUUGAAGCCUUGACCCCAGAAGACGUUAGAUCUGCCACAAAUACAGGGAAUCCACUGUUCACAUGGGCAGAGCCUCCCCUGUAUUUGCACGGCGUUGCACAAGUACAAGAUACAACUACACAGUAUAAUAAUCCACAUACAAUCACCACAUCACAUUCAUUCCAUCACAAGUUUACCAUAUGAUAUUCAUAAUUUUACAUCUAUCAGUUUAAAAAGUUUCCCACUCGAAAACUUAUUUUAAAAUACUAAGAUUCAUGAAAACCAGAAAACCUUUUUUAAAACUGUUUCCCACACGAAAACCUUUUCCUUUAAAAACACACUACCAUGAGAGGUAGAAAUCAUUUUCAUCUCAUAAGAAAAUCAUAAGUACUUUAUUAUUUUCAAAAAAUAACAU
rnacentral:lncRNA from 1 species